rnacentral:rRNA from 1 species
ACGGGAGGCAGCAGUGAGGAAUAUUGGUCAAUGGGCGUAAGCCUGAACCAGCCAAGUCGCGUGAGGGAUGAAGGUUCUAUGGAUCGUAAACCUCUUUUAUAAGGGAAUAAAGUGCGGGACGUGUCCUGUUUUGUAUGUACCUUAUGAAUAAGGAUCGGCUAACUCCGUGCCAGCAGCCGCGGUAAUACGGAGGAUCCGAGCGUUAUCCGGAUUUAUUGGGUUUAAAGGGUGCGUAGGCGGCCUUUUAAGUCAGCGGUGAAAGUCUGUGGCUCAACCAUAGAAUUGCCGUUGAAACUGGGGGGCUUGAGUAUGUUUGAGGCAGGCGGAAUGCGUGGUGUAGCGGUGAAAUGCUUAGAUAUCACGCAGAACCCCGAUUGCGAAGGCAGCCUGCCAAGCCAUGACUGACGCUGAUGCACGAAAGCGUGGGGAUCAAACAGGAUUAGAUACCCUGGUAGUCCACGCAGUAAACGAUGAUCACUAGCUGUUUGCGAUACAGUGUAAGCGGCACAGCGAAAGCGUUAAGUGAUCCACCUGGGG